GAAAAAAAAUUUUAAUAUAAUAUAUUUAAUGGGGGUUAAAGUAUUUUUAUAGAAAAAAUUUUAUAAUUUAUAGUGUAAUAGUAUUGUGAAAGAAAUAUUGAAAAUAUUGAAAUAAGAAUUUAUUUUAAAGUAAAUUUUAUUUAUUGUAUCUUGUGUAUCAGAGUUUUUUAAAGAAAGAAUUUGGGGAAAUUUAUUUCGAAUUUUAAAGAGUUAAUUAAUUAAAAAAGUUAAUAUUGUAUAAUUAUUUUAAAUAAUUAAUUAGAAAUGAAAAGUUAAUCGUUUUAAAUGAUAUCUAAUUUUUUUAGAAAAAAGUUUAAUUUUAAAUAAAUUUUAAAAAUAAUUAAUUAAUUAAUUAUUUUUAAAAUUUAUUUUUAUAUUUUAGGGGAUAAGCUUUAAAUUAAAAUUUUAUAAUAAAAAUGAAAAUAAAAUUAAAAUUUUUAAGAUUUAUAUUUUUUAUAAAUUGUAAUUUAUUAUAAAUAAUUUUAUUUAAUUAAAAUUUUAUUUUGAUUUAAAUUUUUAUAAAAAAAUAUUUUUUAAUUUUAUAAAAAUAGAUAUAAUGAUAAAAUUAGUAUAUAAUUUAUAAAUAAAAUAAAAAUUAUUUAAAUUAAUAAAAAGGAAUUCGGCAAAAAUUUAUAUUCACUUGUUUAUCAAAAACAUGUCUUUUUGAUAAAUAAUUUAAAGUCUAAUCUGCCCACUGAAUUAUUUUAAAGGGCUGCAGUAUAUUGACUGUACAAAGGUAGCAUAAUCAUUAGUCUUUUAAUUGGAGACUUGUAUGAAUGAUUUGAUGAAAUAUAAACUGUCUCUAUAUUAAAAAUAGAAUUUAAUUUUUUAGUUAAAAAGCUAAAAUUUAUUUAAAAGACGAGAAGACCCUGUAGAGUUUUAUAUUUAAAAUUAUAUUAAUUUUUUAUAAAAUUUUUAUUUAUUAUUUUUUUUAAAUAUUUUAUUGGGGUGAUAGAAAAAUUUAAUAAACUUUUUUUAAAAAUUUUACAUUAAUAUAUGAAAUUUUGAUCCAUAAUUUAUGAUUAAAAGAAUAAAUUACCUUAGGGAUAACAGCGUAAUUUUUUUUUUUAGUUCUUAUAAGAAAAAAAGUUUGCGACCUCGAUGUUGGAUUAAGAUAAAAUUUAAAUGCAAAAGUUUAAAAUUUUGAUCUGUUCGAUCAUUAAAAUCUUACAUGAUCUGAGUUCAAACCGGUGUGAGCCAGGUUGGUUUCUAUCUUUAUAAAAAUUUAAUAAUUUAGUACGAAAGGAUCAGUUAUUAAAAAUAAUUUUUUUUGUAGGAAUAUUAUUAAUUUUUUUUGCUAUUUUGGCAGAAAAAAUG
rnacentral:rRNA from 1 species